UAGAGAGAAGAGAGAGAGGAAGGGAGAGAGAAAAAGGGGAACGAACCUAAAAAGACCAGCAGGGGGAAAAUGGACAGAGGGAAAAGCAAAAUGACAAGACAAUCUAAGACAAAACAUGACAUAUUCAGAUGCUGUACCUUACCUACCAGGCCUGUGAAAGAAUCCAGCUCUCCACCCCUUGAGACCUCUGUGAAACAAAAUUAGGCCUAGAGGAGGAGGGAACUAUCACUGGUAAGUAGAGUUUCAUAUUAAAAUAUACAAGUUAUUCUCAAAUUAUUCUUAUCUCUGUCAUUCGCAGGAGAAAGAGACGGCGAUAUUGAGGGCGAUGGUCGGGGCCUUGUAAGGAUCUGGAGGAGAUAGAGGGAUAACACUAUCCCCAGCCAGGCAGACGAGUGCAGAUUACAAGACGAGUGCAGAGGGAUCUGUCACGCCUUCAGCCAGCAUGCAUAAAUACUGUGGAUUUGUUGAGAACACUCAUGAGUCCAACAAAGAUGAAGAGGUAGAAGAAGACGAUGGAGGAAGAAGAAGGAGAAAUGGGAACUAUAGCUCCAGGAGGUGGGACAGUGGUGGACGAAGCGGGCCAGGUUACAGGAUCCAACCCUGGGGAGCUCCAUGGAGGAAGGAGUGUGGCUCAACAAGAAGAGGAGGAAGCAACGUCAUAAACAGAAGCUCUUGUCUCUGGGUCUGGUGCCGCGUGCUGCGGCUCGAGUUCACCUACGAGAGCGAGGGGGAAGGAAGAGAUGAGGCAGAGAAGAGCAGCUGAAGUGAUAAUCUUCCUCAGGACCACACAUGAUCUAUGUGUCUGAUGCAGGUUCAUCUGGUAGUGGAGGGCCUUCUGACCAGCCUGUACAAUGGAACAUUCCCCCCUGCUGUUUUGGCCCAGAUCCAAAGCCUCUAGUCCCUGGUGCAGCAACAGGACACAGCAAGGAUGCCAAAGGAUCUGCAGGAGCUCCAGAACAGCUCUACCAUGUCUACUGGUGAUGCCACUGCAGUUGUGUCCCUGUUUCAGUAUUGGAUCACAGACAUCCCGCACCAUGCAGAGAGAAUGGAAAACAGGCCAACCUACAACAUAACCUUCCUAGUCGAGCCAACCAACAACCCAACCUUAGACUUUCCUAGAUGUUCAGGGUUUGUAACAAUACUGCUGACGGAAAACAUGUCUGACUUAAUUCAUUGUGAGCCCAUGAAACGGAGUUAAGUACAUACCGUAAACUCACUCCACAGCUAGCUUUAAAUGUCGCGGAUGGAGCCAUCCAAUUGGUAUCUUUUGUGUGGCUCAAACCGUUGGAAUGUUGUCAAGGAGGGAGGCCCCUAGUUCGAGCCAGGUACGAGCCGAAUCGGGGAAGUGAUACCAAACAAAAUUAAUUAACCGUUUAAUGGAUUUUCCCCACAGAAAAGUGAGGCGAGCAAGUCAUAAAACAUUAAGUGGAUAAGGAAUAACAUUACUUUACCACAUUGUCCUAUGCACCUGUGUGGGCUCUAGAGUUAUAUUAUUCCAUGUGAAAACGUACACUAUUUUUCUUAAAAAGAAUGCAGAUGUUACAAUGUUGUUAUAAGAGAAAUGAAACACACUAAAGUAUAACUUGUGACAGUUUCGUUAUUCCUGAUUUUAAAAAAUGAUCUCUGAUAUACACAACCGUUUAAAAGUUUGGGGUCACUUAGAAAUGCAUUUUUUUUGUCCAUUUAUAAUAACAUCAAAUUAAUCAGAAAUACAGU